rnacentral:lncRNA from 1 species
CCUUGAUGUUUAUGACCACUGGUAGCAAAAUUUGUCCUAAAAGAAGACGAAUCAAACCAUAUGAAUAUUUCAUCAGAUUACUUGCUCUUCAUUUAAUGAUUUCAUCUUCUGUAUAUUAAUCUGUCCAUAACUAGCCAUAUUAGCAUAUAAUUACUAAAAUUGUUAAACCAUCUAACCUGCUAACUCAUGAGACCAGUUAUUUUUCCCCAACCCAUAUGCAACAACAACAAUGACAUACCUAGUGUAAUCCCACGAGUGGGGUUUGAGGAGGGUGAGAUAUACGCAACCUUUUACCCCUACUUUUUCUGAUACUCUUGGUACGACAAUGUAUUACCAAUUUUCUCAACCCAUAUAUUGAACUUAAAUCAAUUUCAACCUAUUUUAGGAUUUUCUCGACUACCACUCUGCCUAUACCAUCAACAGGCAGAAAUACCCCAUUUCGCAAGUUUCCGACUAUAGCAUAAGAAAAUACAGUAACUAAGAAAUUUGAAGAGAAGUUAACUUUGCAUAAAUGGAAGAAGAUUCUUCUCUUCCUCCCAUUCUUACAUCAGUAAUAUCAAAUAUAAGGUAAUUGUAGGUCAUACGAGGAAAGACCAAAAUUUGGAUAGACCUGAUAUCAUCAAAUCUUGAAAAAAAUGCCGCCUUUGGUAAAACUAAGCAUCUUCCAAGUAGGAAAAAAAAAAGAUCACCAGAUAAAGGACCCAUUUUGGCUUUGAUUGUCAUAUGAAAGAGAAACCAUUAGGAAUCUAUUCAAUUGAAACAACAAUUACCAUGUCUUAUAAAAUCUUGUAGAUUACUAUUCUAUUUGACCAGUUUCAUUCCUAUAUUCAAUACUUCAGUGUUUUUCUACUCAUGUUCAAGUCUCAGACUUGAAAAACUCCCAACACUGGACAUAAUGUCAGAACACCAGCAAAGAUAAAAUUGAUGGUAAAACAUUACUCCCGUCGUCCAGUGUUUAUACCAAACCAAUUAAUGCAUCCAAUGGCAUAGCUAAGGUCCCUUGGCUUCUUCAUGGGUUUACUACUUUACAUUUUGACACUCCUUAACGAAAAUUCUAACUCGCCACUGAAUGCAUCAUCAUCACAUAUGUUAGAACAUAUACAACUAUCACUUAACUAAACUAUGAUAUAUAAUAAGAUCCGGAGCAGAUAAAUAUUUUACCAAAAUUGAUACUCAAAAAUAUUGUGUUACCUUGGAAUUUAAGUCAACACAACCCUUAAAAAGAGCAAGAAUCUCAGAUCCAUUGCCUCUAACAACACUAGGCUUUAAAGCAAGUAGCUCCAAACACGCCUUCAACCGGAAACUUGACCCACCGGCAGCUACAGGAUCAAGCACCCAAGGUUUUUUCGAUUGAUUCGCCACCUGUGCCGCCAAUUUCAUACCGGGUAGCCAGUCAGGAGUGAGGGUUCCGGCAUUUAUGCAAACUCCAAGGGCUUUUGGAGUAAAUUCUGGGAUUUCUUCAACGGAAUGAAUCAUCGCCGGCGAUGCACCGGCGGAUAACAGAGUAUUGGCCAUCAAAUCCAUUGAAACGAAGUUGGUUAUACAUUGAAUUAAUGGGGAUUUUUGACGAACUAAUUCGAAAUGGGUCCAUGCUUGUUUGGGCCAAUGUAAAGGGUUUUGUUGAGCUUCCUUUUGGGGUUCAAUGGUGUUAGUACUUUUGUCUUCUUCCAUAGGAGUGUAUAGGCGAGCUGAUAACUCUGUUUGGAUGAUUGGAUUAUGAAAAAGAGAGUAUAUAUCGCUAGAUUUACGGAGGUAGAGUGUUCGUAAAUUUUAACAUUAUCUCGUGAAAAUAAAUUGUUAUUUUUGAAAGUCCUUUAAUUCGAGUGCAAUAAAUUCAAGUACAAAAAUGAAGAAAAUAGUGUAGCAAUAUCAUAAUAUAACAAACUGAGACAUCAAAAGUAAGAACUAUAAUAAUACGAGGUAAUAUUAGGUACUAUAACCAAAGACUACGUGGUUAAGCUAAUACGAUAAUCGACAUGGUGCUCUAUACUAUCACCCAACUAAAUAUAUGAAAAGGCUAGUACGCAACAAUUCUUAACUACCUAUUAAUAUUCUAUCCUUACCCACGAGGCCACGACCUUCAUAUCUUUCUAUCUAAGAUCAUGUUUUCGAUAAGGAUGCACUCAUAUUUUAUCUAAUUACCUUUCUCCAAUACUUCUUCGAUUAUCUUCUACUUUUCCUCAAUCUCACUUCAGUAGUUGAGUCUCAAGAUCAAUGUUAGGAUCAAGAGUCGAGAGUUGGGCCUUAGAUCAGUAUUGGAAAUUGAUUCCCAAAAAAAGUUAUUUUUCGAAUAAGGUUGAGUCAGAAGAUAAGAUAAAAAGAAAAAAAUUGUGAAAUAUUUUAAGAAUCCUCAUGUUCCUACAAAAGUUUGACACUAUGCCACUUAGGAGAUCGAAAGUAUAUCUAAGUUUAAUUAAUUGAAAUAGUGAAAUUCUUGUAUACGUGCCUCCAUGAAACAAAGAAUCUAAAAAAGUGUAUAUAUAUAUAUAAACACUUGAAAGAUUUCCGCCAUCGCCGGCAGCACUGAUAAUUUCCAACAAAAUGCACAACCACCACCUUCAACCGCCGCCAACCACCACUUCCACCGGCGGCGCCACCGGAAGUAACAACAGUAGCAUUUGCCGGAUCACUUUUUCGACACCCUUUAUCCUCCUUAUCACCACCAUAUUCUCACUUCUCCUUAUACUUUCCCUUUCCUUUUCCCCUUCUUCUACCUCUCUUCCUCCUCACCCUAAUCCUUCCCUUUUCCCGAAUUUCCAUAACUAUCUCAACUCCCCAUCAAACCCAAAUGACCAAAAUACCCUUCCAUCCACCCCACCAACCCCACCUUCAAUUGCAUACCUCAUAUCUGGAUCCACUAAAGACUCUUCUAGAAUCCUCCGUUUGUUGUUUGCUGUGUAUCAUCCAAGAAAUCAGUAUUUACUUCAUCUUGAUAGAAAAGCUACUCAGAAGGAACGUGAUGAAUUGGCACUUGCUGUUCAAUCUGUGCCGGUUUUUAAAGCUGCACAGAAUGUAAAUGUUAUUGGGAAAGCUGAUUUUCGAUACUCGAUUGGGUCUUCUGCAUUGUCUGCUACACUUCAUGGGGCUUCCAUUCUUUUGAGACUUUCGAAUUCUUGGGAUUGGUUUAUUAAUCUCUCAGCUGCUGAUUAUCCACUCGUUACUCAAGAUGGUAUGAAAUGAAAAGAUUUAGUUUGAAAAAUUUGGCGUAGGGGGAAAUGGGGGAGGGGAUUAUAGGAUGAGGAAUCGAACCCCUCACUGGAAAAAUUCAGGUAGCCAAUCGACUAAGCUAACUGGGAUUCUUUUGAAAAAAGAUUUAGCUUUUAUAUUUGUUAGUUUUGAAUGUCUUUGUGUUAGCUACUUUGUAGGCUUUUUGAGUGUUGAAUUUCCAUCUUUUGUGAGUUUAGGAUCUUAAUUGAAAUCUUAUCUAAGAUUGGUUUGCUUUAGAGAGUAGUCGAAAAACUAUGUGAAGGCGAGCUUAUCUUUAAAAUGAACUUGGUGGACACAGUUACCGUGUAGCAAUUACCUUGUGGAAUUAGUUAAGGUACCUGCAAGCUGGACCGGACACCAUGGAUGUUAGUAAAAGAGUUAUCUUUAAAUUGACAAUUGACCGAGUUAAAGAUUUAGCUUUUAUUUGUGUUCGUUUUCGAAUUUUCUUUUGGUAGCUACUUUUUGGGAGGUGUGUUGAAUUCCAUGUUUUUUGAGUUUAGUAUCUCGAUUGAAAUCCUAUCUAAGAUUGGUUUGCUUCAAGUGAGGAGUCGAAAAACUAUGUGAAGGCAAGCUAUUUUAAAAAUGAACUUGGUGGACAUAAUUUCAUUGGUACUUGUGCAGGUUGGAGGGAGGUAGCAGGUACCUCUGGAAUUAGUCAAGGUACCUGCAAGCUUGUCCGGACACCAUGAAUAUUAGUAAUAAAGAAGUUUAUCUUUAAAUUGUCCAUUGACCAAUCUAAAGAUUUUGCUUUUAUUUGUGUUCGUUUUUUAGUUUUCUUUUGCUAGCUACUUUUUGGGCUCUGUGUGUGUGUAGAAUUCCAUGUUUUUUUGUGUUUAGUAUCACAAUUGAAAUCUUAUCUAAGAUUGAUUUUCUUCUGCAAUAUCUUUAAAAUGAACUUGGUGGACAUAGUUACACGGUAACUGUGUAAGUGGGAGGUAGCAUGUACCUUGUGGAAUUAGUUGUGGUACCUGCAAAUUGGCCUGGACACCACGGUUAUUAAUAAAAGAGUUAUCUUUAAAUUGGCCAUCGACCACUUUUGUCAUGAAGGGAUUAUUCAUGCACUUGAUGCAAUUUGUUUCUCCGAGAAGCUUGUUAGAAAUUGUAGAAGUAGUUCAUUGAUGUUGGUAACUUUUCUAUAAAUAGAAAUGUCUUACCUGAACAAGUUUGUUGGUAUUUGGGUUGGCUUCCUGUAAGAUUUUACAUCAAUGAAUUGUGUAGUUGAAAUCAUAUCUCCUUAUACCGGGCUAUCUCGUUGGUGUUUAAUGAUAACUGAUGUUUGUAAUGCAAAUUCUUGUCAUUGAACUGUGCCAUUGGUGUGUUUGGAGUGGUUGCACUACAACAUAAUCAAUCGAAUAUUUUCAUUGAAUUUAUUUCUUCCUAUACCUCGAUUUCUCUUUGUUGAUGAGUGAUGACCGAUGAUUUAUGUGGUGCAAAUUCUUGUUGAUUUUCAGAUCUUCUACACAUUUUAUCAUAUCUACCCAAGGAUCUUAAUUUUGUCAACCACUCGAGCUACAUCGGUUGGAGAGAGUAUGACUAUAUCCUUCUCCUGCUAUAUGUUUCUAUAUGUACUAACUUAUAAAAAAAAGAAGAGGUUUCUAUAUGUUGUUAUGUUUAAAGGAUAUGAACAUGUGGAUAGCACGUGCUUCUAGAGUUCACUAAUAUUGCUAUUUUGGAUUGUGUAGGUCAAAGAAGUUGAAACCAAUAGUUGUGGAUCCAGGGCUCUAUCUUGCAGAGGAAAGUGAAGUAUAUUAUGCCACUCAAAAACGGGAAUUGCCAGAUGCUUAUCGAUUAUUCACAGGUGAGGAUGCCGGUUAUCGUUUUAUUUGCUUCAUUAGGUAUUGAAUUUGUGAAUAACGUUUGUGCUCUUUUUCCUGUGAUUGAGAAAAAAUAUUUUCUUGAUAAGGAGGGACAACUAUAACGCUGAGAACAAGGAACUCUUUUAUUAAAGAGAAAGGAGUAAGGACUAAACUAGAAAAUAAAAUUUAAACAGAAAUAUUAUGCAGUAUGAAAAUAAGCAAAGUAUGAUAUACAUGGACACUAACUGGAAAAGGUGUACCACUUGUGAUGAUGCCAUUGUUCCUCUCACUUCACUUUUAUCUUCUCUUUUAAAUCAGAAAAAAAAAUCCAAAUAUCAUCAACAAUCCAACUAAAUAUCAUCAACAACCAACCUAACUGCUUCCCUCAAUUCCUAUUUCUUCCAUUGUUUUCCUCAUCUGACAUCCAAUCCUUCAUCAUCCUCUCGAAGUACAUUUAACGUUAUGUUAUGUCAUUUAAAAACCAAAUCUAUUGCCACAAGAACUAUGGUUAUUGUGAGGGGAAGAGGGGUUGGGUGUGGGGCAUCCCAGAGGUGGUUUCAGAAGGAUAUGUUAACUGGAGAUGUUUAGGCGCAGAGAAAAUUACUAGUCUUUCACUUAUCAAAGAAAAAGAGGAGUCUUUGACAACGGAAACCAGGGUUCAAAUUCAGUGGAGACCAAAAAAUAAGUUGAUUUCCUUACAUUUAAUGAAGCUUUGAUGGGUAAAUGUACCCGAUACUCAUGGUGGAGAUGCGUAUAAGCUGAUUCGGACACCAUUGUUAUCUUACAAAAAGAGCUUUUGACAAAAUUCUAGGGAUUCCGUUGAAGGUUUCUAAGUGAAAAUGACAAAUCUAUAAUCCGGAACUGAAAGAGAUUAGAAAGUUAAGGAGGCAAUUAGUUUGAGGCAAGUAGAACGUUCUGCACGGUUUCAGAUCCUUCAUCCAUUCUUUUUUUUUUUUGACGAGGAAAUAAACCCUUCAUCCAUUCAUUUAUCAAUCUUAUAACAUUAAGAAGCAAGGAAACCAUCUUCUCCGUACGGUUUUCCGUUACAUUUUAGGCUCUAAACGCUUUUGCAUUUCUAUCCAGCCAAAAUCGCCAAGAGGUCUUGAAUGAAGCAAAUACAGUUUAGAAUCCUCAUAGAGCAGUAACCAUAGUGGAAGUACUUAAUUAGAUGAAGCAGGGAUGAGAAAAUCUCUAAACCUCUAUCUAGGAAGCAUCACCACAACCUGAUGAGAAAUGCAAUGCAUAGUCAGGUUGUCCUUGAUUCUUGCCUUUGUACUACGUAUAUAGAAGACUAAUUUUACUUUGAAUUUUUUAACUUAUUUAGUCUCCGGAUCUGUUGCAGAUCAUUCAUGUAAGUGUUCCAAGAGUCUGUUACUUAAGUCUUUACCUUGUAAAUGAAUGAUUUUCAGUUGAACUCUAGCUUUUGGAUGAGUAUAUAAGGAAAGGGAUUGUCUUGAAACAAUUUCUUGGAAAUAUGCAUGCACCAUGUAAUCAUAAAAUGAUUUCUAGGGGAAGUAAUUUAGUAAAAACCGCUCUUGGUAUGAUCUUUCAGUAAAUGUAAUGAAAGCAUAUUUGAUACGUUACUGAGACAAAGCCACAUGACACAACUUAGUUUAUCAAGUAUAAACAACAAUAACAACAAACCCAGUGUAAUCCCACAGGUGGGAUCUGGGGCGGGUCGAGUGUACACAGAUCUUACCCCUCCUACCUUGAGAAGGUAGACAGGCAAGUUUAUCAAGUAUCAAAACUAUAAGUUUUUUUGCAUUUUAAAGGAGGAACAAGCUACUCUGACUUUGUCUAACUUCUUUUUUUAUAGGAAACUAAAUACUUACUCCAAUUGUGAUUACAUUCAUCAGCAACCCUGCGUUAUUAUUCUAUUUCCGUUCCAUCACUUCUCUUCAUCGGGCAGUCAACCCUUCAUCCUUUUCUCUCAGUCCAGUUGACACCUGACAUUAUGUAUUGGUUCAUUUGAAACCCAACUCUAUUGCAACAAUCACACCAUCCUUGCUAAGUACAACUAGCAAGUUAACAUUAUCCUUCAGUAUCAGUUGAAAUAUAAUGAAAUCCAUCUUGAAGAAAUUCCUAACCUCCAACGGCUUAAAAUUUGAAACUUGUGCCUCAACUUCUUUCUCCACCAUUUCAAUUUGUCCAGCCUUCUCUGCAGUUCAUCGGCUGCCUAUUUUGGCCCUGGAGGAGGGUGAAAAAGUAAAUUUUCUUUCUUUUCAGAGCUAAUGGGUUUUUAAUUUCGAUGAAUAUUGACGUAUAAAGUUGUCCCUUUCAUCUCUAUGAUGUGGUUGAAAUAUAAUUAGCGUGAUCAAUACUAAACGCCACCGCUUAGUUGCUUAAAAUGAUGAAACAGUGCAAAACAAGGGGUUAUCACUUCAGUUUGAAGCCAUGAGCUUUAGAGAAGUAUGUGCGUCAAACAAAGACGCGCAAAGUAAAUCCAAAUAGAAGCGGUUGGUUCUUUGAAUCUUGAACUUGAGCAGUUGGACUAAUUAUUGUUUAUUUGAUGCUGAAGUUAGUUAUUCUCAUAUGUUUGGCAAUUUUUUAAUUUUUCUUAAAUUGUGCGUUUCACUUCAUGUUUUUCAUUUCAAGCCCUGCAGACUCUGUGUCUCUUUUGGAUUUUUCGUUUUUGAAAACAUCUUUUCAGAGAGGUGGUUUUUGCAUUGCCAAGACCCCUCAUAAAUGAUGGGCUCUGUUUUCACGAGAUACUCUUCCUAUUUGUCUCGUAUUAUUGUCUAGAAACGUUGUAAAGCAGGACAUUUAAAACCAGCCAAUUUGUUAUAAAAUAGCAGGUUUUGCAUGAGUUUCAUACUAUGACCAACUAAUUUGUUCUUACUGCAGGGUCAUCAUCUGCUAUUUUGAGUCGGAAGUUUACCGAGUUCUGCAUCUUAGGCUCGGAUAACCUCCCUAGAACUCUGUUAAUGUACUUGUCAAACUCACCAUCUUCAGAAUCUGUAUAUUUUCCAACCGUUUUGUGCAAUUCACGGAAAUUCAAUGGGACAACAAUCAACCACAACAUGCAGUAUGCUUCUUUUAACUCCAGAUCACAAGUUCGCCGGCUCAACUCAAGUGACUUCAAUGACCUGGUGAUGAGUGGAGCAGCCUUUGCUUCCCCAUUUAAGGCAGGCGAUCCGGUUCUUGAUAAGAUCGACCAUGAACUUCUCCACCACAAUCGUGACGAACCAGUGCCAGGCGGGUGGUGUUUAGGUGACACUGAAACUAACAAAUGUACCGUUUGGGGAGAUGCCGAAAUCAUAAGACCGGGUUUCGGAGCAAAGAGACUCGAGAAACAUUUUCUUGAGCUUUUCUCUAACGGAUCAUAUUUGUCUGAUCAAUGUCAAUAUGAGAAGACCUCCUCCUCCAGAUGAUUAACAUCUAAGUUGCACAAACUCUUCACUUUCGAUGCUGCACCUGUGUUGGAUUCUUAAAAAAUACCCUACUUUUGGAGAAUCCGACAUGUACUCGUUGACAUUUUUGAAGAGUUCGAGCAAUAUAGAUUAACAUAGCAAAGGGAGAGACAAAGAGAUGAAUACACUAUCAACUUAGACAGAAGAUAUAACACGAGGUACUCAUCAAACCACUUGAAAUAGUACUAAAUUUUAGUGUCAGCUAGCCAAUUCUUUCAUUGGAAGCCUAUUGUUGUAUAAGUCCUUUUGAAAGUUAUCUUUUCCAUCCGGUGCCCGCUCUGCGUAAAAAAAAAACUUCGUCUUUGAUCUCUCUUUCGCAAUACAUUUUAAGGGUUAAAACUUUGUUGAAUUGGGCAAGCCCUGCUGAGGAAUCUUAAUGUAAUUGUUUGCCAUUGCAAUGGAAGAUCAUUGUAAUCACUUGAUGUUAAUAUUGUACUCAUUUUUUCCCUCUCCUCGAGGCACACGUAGACUCUUUUUUUUUUUUUACGAAAACAUUAUUAUGUCUGAAUAUGAAUACAUGUUUGAGUAUUAAGAUGUUGUCUCUGAAUUUGAAUGCUAGAUAAUUAAAAUUGUGUUUCUCAACAUCUCAAAUUGAAUACAUAUUAUGAUGAUUGUGGGUUGAUGGUUGGUGGUGAACAUAGUUAACAGUAGAGCUUGUCUAGUGGUGGUUGCUGGGCUGUAGUGGCUGGUGAUAGAGGUGGCCGGUGGUGGAGGUGGUAGUUAGCAACGGAAAUGGUUAGUGGUGAUAGUUGGAAGUGAUGGCGGUGGUGGGCGUGUGAGGUAUGAGUCGAAGUGAUUGAUGGUGAUGGUGAUGUUCUAAUCUCAUGUUAUUCAACCCUAAACUCUAGCUCGUACUAUUCACUAAUAUAAAAGAGUGUAUUUUCUUUAAGAGACAUCUUGAAAAUCUCAUAAAUUCAUGGAAUAUUUACAAAGAAAUCAGAACAAUGAACAUCAAAUGUUGUUAUUCUCAAAACCAAAGAGAUCAAGAUCAGAUGUUCUCCAUCUAGAUAUCAACUCGAAAUAUUGAAGUAUUGUCCAACAUUUUUGGCGUUCAAAUACAUCAUGAGGAUGUCUACGAGCCCGUUCGGAUUGACUUAAAAAAAGUAACUUUUAAGUAAAAAAAAAAAAAAAAACUAAAAUGACUUUUAAGUCAAAAAAAAAAAGUAAGGGGAGACCUACUUUUGGUUUUUGACUUAUUUUAAGUCAUUUUUAACUUAUUUUAAGUCAUUUUAAACCUUGUCAAACACUUCUUAACUUAUUUAAGUCAUUUUUGACUUAUUUUAAGUUUUUUUUUAUAUUUGUCAAACACUUUCAAAAAUAAAAAACUAAUUUAAAAAUAAGUUUGACAAACUUUUAAGACUAUCCAACUGAGCUUUACAUCAUUCUAACUUCAAGAAAUAUACUAUUAAUUAACCUCGAAGGACGGGGAAAUACAUCAUUCUAACUUCAAGAAAUAUACUAGAUUAAUUAACCUCGAAGGACGGGGAAAUUUAGGAGAGAAAAAUUAAAUAAAUACACAGAAUUGUUACUAGACUAUUUCUUUUAUGAAAAGAUAUUAUGAUUGAUUGAUUUGAUGUGUAUUUUAAGUCACAAAGACAAAACUACUUUUAUUCAACUUGAAAUAAAAUAAAGAACACAUAACAUGACUUUUUUCUAAAGUUUGCAUGUGAUAUCUCACAUGCAAAAUGGGAGAGUAGUUGCAAACAUCUAACAACUAAUCAUACAAUUUUUUAAACAUGGGUAGGCCCUAGUAACACCCAAAUUUGCUCCACUUAUAUUUUAUGUCCAAUUAAUAAAAUCGUCGGAUCAUUUUUAUAACAGUCAUUUUUUAUAAUAAUAUUUCUUUUAAUUAUAAUAUAAUUUAGUCUUUUCUUGAGAAUCGACUUUUAUAUUAUGUUAUAUUUCAUAUAUAUCCUAUAUAAUAACAUUUUGACGUAGCAGUUAAAAAAUAUAUUAAUAAACGACACUAUUAUAAAGAGAUUUUACUAUAUAAUCUCAAAGACGAUGUGACUUCAAUUUUAAUCAUUCAUCAUUUCUUUAAAUCUUGUGUUGAUUAAUUUUUUUAUUACGACUUUUGAACUCUUCCUUCAUUAAACACACACAUACACAAAAAAAAUAAAAAAAUAUCACAUGUAUUGUCGGAAUAGUCAAAGAUUUUUUCAAGUAACUUAUUAUAUAAAUAAAUUAAUAACAAUCGUGUCACUCUCUUAUUGGACAGAUUAACUAAUCAAUUCCAUGAUUUGCUUAAGCAGCCUGCGUUGGCUAAUAAUGUAAAAUACAUGGGGCUGUUUGAUCGGUGGAAUAAAAAAAAUAAUUUCAAGAUACUUUAUUAUGUAUUUGAUUUUAAAUUUUAUUUGACUUCAAAAUUAUUUUAUUUCACUAUAUUAGUAUAAAUUAUUUCAUAUAAAAAAUAAAAUAAAAUAAUUUCAUGAGAUAUUUUUAUCUAUGUCCCAUUUUCCUGAUCACAUAACCUCAUAGUGUUAUGACAAUAAUAAUAAUAAUAAUCAAGUUUUAAUUAUUUAUAUUUGUAUCCUACAUUGGAAAACAACAUGUAAAUAUUCUAUUCUAUGAUAAAUAAAUAUAAAAUAAAAUAAAAUAUAGUGGUAAGUAUAUAGUCCUUGUCAAGUUCAUGAAAUAUUGGGCGUACUUUCACUAGCACUAUUUUUGGUCAUGUUGAGUUGACACAGACCAAUAGUACCUAAAUAUAAUUGACCACAAAGGGAUACCUACUUGUUGAAAUAAAUAAAUAAAUAAAUACAAAUGAAAAAAAUAUAUGCGUAUAUAAUUUACGUGAUUUUAGAUAGGAGGUUGUAAAAGCUAUUCCAUGAAUUAAAGUAGUUAAUAGUGUGUUGUUUUUCAAUAUAUAUUUAUACUAGUAGUUGUAUUAUUUCUGUAGUUUCUUAUUUGUUGUUUUCGUAUUUUGCUUAAGUAUUGCAUACACUCUAUCAGACAUUAGACCUUUCUUCGUAAAACUUAAGCACAUUUUAAAGUAUGAUCAGUAGUGACUUAUAUAACAUUUUUCUUUAAGUCGAGAUUUAAAACAACCUCUCUACUUCAAUAAUUUUGUAGGAUAAAAUCUACGUAUAUCUUGAUUCUUUCAAGUCCCAUCUAUGAGAUUACACUGAACAUGUGUUUUUUGUGUGGUAAUGACUCACAUAUAAAUAUUUUUCCCUUUUAAUGAAUCUUAUACGAGGUGAAUUAAAUUAGUCGAGACACAAAAUGAAAAUUCAGUACCAAGUAAAAAAAAAAAAAAAAAGCAAGUGAGAUAAGCAGGGUAUCAUUUCUACGACAAACGUAAAAGGAAAGAAAAUUAAAAAAAACAGAUGAAAAAUCAACAUCCUCUUGUUGCCUCCAACUUGCCAAUUUGCUAUUCAAUAAUAAACCUUGGCCUUUUAUUAGUGACAAUAAUUAUUAUUUUUAUUUGUUUUCGUUUUCAUAUUUAAGUCUGACUAAUCUGAAUUCACACAAAAUAAAACUCAUUUAUGAAUGAAGUUUUCUAUUAAAGAUUUUUUUCAUAUCUCAAAACUUAAACUCGAAAAUUCUAAUUAAAUAACGAGUCCCAUCAACCACACACCACGUUCUUUGGUAUUAUUGGUAACAAUAAUUAUUCUUUUGAUUUUUUAUCUGGUGUUUGAUAUAUUCGACUAAUUUAAACUCGCACGAGAUACAAUCCAUUAAAAAAUAACGUUUCCUAUCAAAUAUCUUUUAAUAUCUGAAGCUCAAAAUUCAAUCCUCUAUUUAAUAAAGAAAUCUUAUUCACUGCACCAUAUUCUUCGAUAUUAUCGUAACAAUAAUAACACCAACAAGAAAGAGAGAGGAAAGAGAAUCUCUCUUUCUUCCUACCCACAAUUAUUUCUCCCAAAUUUCUCUCUGUCUCUCUUAACAAAUUCAAACCAAACACAGCCAAAAUAAAACCAAAAACUUGUUGAAAAUUCUAUAGAAAAAAAAUUUCUUUCUUUUUUUUUAAAAAGAAUUUUAUGAAAAUGGAAGCUAUGUACUCAAAAACUUGUUUUAUGGUAGAUGAUGAUAUUCUUAAUUUCUCUUUAGAUGAUGAUGAAAAAUAUCAAACUUCUUCUUCUUCUUUUGAAUCAUCAAGCACCCUUGGAUUUCAUCAAGAUGAUCAUAGCCCUUCAUUUCCUGUAAGUAAUUUGAUUGAUUUUUUUUUCCAUUAGAAUGGCAUUUUCGUGAAUAAACAUGUAAAGAGGGGGGGGGGGGGAAUUUUUUUUGGGUGGGGGANNNNNNNNNNNNNNNNNNNNNNNNNNNNNNNNNNNNNNNNNNNNNNNNNNNNNNNNNNNNNNNNNNNNNNNNNNNNNNNNNNNNNNNNNNNNNNNNNNNNNNNNNNNNNNNNNNNNNNNNNNNNNNNNNNNNNNNNNNNNNNNNNNNNNNNNNNNNNNNNNNNNNNNNNNNNNNNNNNNNNNNNNNNNNNNNNNNNNNNNNNNNNGGGGGGGGGGGGUAAUUUUGUUGGGUGAGGGAAUAAGAUACCAUGUUUGGACGAUUUUACCCUUGAAACCAAAUGAGUUGUUUGAUGCCUGGAAUAAGGAUAAUAAUUUUGAAAUAAAUUUAUGAUUAACUUUAUGUCGUGUUUUGUUUGAGGUGUUAGCUAAUUCAAGAUUAAUUUAUCUUGCUAUUUGAUAAAAUAAUGUGAUUACUAUUUCAUAUCGACAUAUUCUACGCUUGAAAUAUCCUUAUUUAUUCCAUUUCACAUGCCAGGGGACCCUAAAAAGGAUUCAUGGCUUGUUUUAGAAAUUCACAUAAUACUUUUUUAUGAUUACAAUGAAAAAA